rnacentral:rRNA from 1 species
UACGUAGGGUGCAAGCGUUAAUCGGAAUUACUGGGCGUAAAGCGUGCGCAGGCGGUUUUGUAAGUUUGUCGUGAAAUCCCCGGGCUCAACCUGGGAAUGGCGAUGAAGACUGCAAGGCUAGAAUCUGGCAGAGGGGGGUAGAAUUCCACGUGUAGCAGUGAAAUGCGUAGAGAUGUGGAGGAACACCGAUGGCGAAGGCAGCCCCCUGGGUCAAGAUUGACGCUCAUGCACGAAAGCGUGGGGAGCAAACGGG